rnacentral:rRNA from 1 species
UGGAGAGUUUGAUCCUGGCUCAGAUUGAACGCUGGCGGCAGGUUUCCUAACACAUGCAAGUCGAGCGGCAGCACAAGGGAGUUUACUUCUGAGGUGGCGAGCGGCGGACGGGUGAGUAAUGCCUAGGGAUCUGCCCAGUCGAGGGGGAUAACAGUUGGAAACGACUGCUAAUACCGCAUACGCCCUACGGGGGAAAGAGGGGGACCUUCGGGCCUCUCGCGAUUGGAUGAACCUAGGUGGGAUUAGCUAGUUGGUGAGGUAAUGGCUCACCAAGGCGACGAUCCCUAGCUGUUCUGAGAGGAUGAUCAGCCACACUGGGACUGAGACACGGCCCAGACUCCUACGGGAGGCAGCAGUGGGGAAUAUUGCACAAUGGGGGAAACCCUGAUGCAGCCAUGCCGCGUGUGUGAAGAAGGCCUUCGGGUUGUAAAGCACUUUCAGUAGGGAGGAAAGGGUGAGUCUUAAUACGGCUCAUCUGUGACGUUACCCAAAAAAGGGCCAAGGACCAGCUAACUCCGUGCCAGCAGCCGCGGUA